rnacentral:tRNA from 1 species
GCCUUCGUGGUGCAGUAGUCAGCACGCUCGGCGCAUAACCGAGAGUUUCGUGGUUCGAUUCUAGGCGAAGGCA